GUUCGUCUCCUGCAUUUAGGGAAGUUUUCUUUCUUUCUAGCUGUGAUUUAACAACAACGACUCUCCUACUUUAACCAUUUCUUGAUUUUAAACUAUUGUAGAGGAUCCUUUCAUCAUCGGUAUAUUUCUAGGGUCUCAAUUAUGUUCCUCUUAUACUAUCUAAAAUUAAGUAUUGGUGUAAAAUAACAUCUUAUCACUGAAAUAUUGGGUGUUGCUGUCUUUUUACACUGUAAAACUGAGAAAUCCGACGCUAUGACUCUCCACAAGUUGUCCUUCAGGUCGUUAUCUUUGUAAUGUUUGUGUUUUUUAUUCAAAGAGCACUCUGUUCUCCGACAUGUAAACAAUCAGCGGGUCGGCCAUGUUGGAUAUACCGGUGAAUCAGACGUCGCAACAACACGCAAUCUGAUUGGUCAGAAGUGGACAAACAGUAUGCGAAACUUUAGAAAAUUCAACCGUGAUGCGAAAAAAUAAAUGCCGCAAUAUCGCAGGACAGGAAAAUGUCACUGAUGAGAGCGCUUGUGUUGACAGGAUACAGGUUCGAAAAAAAAUAUUGACGUCUGAAAUAAUCGAACGAUAAAAACGCUCCCGGCGUGUAAGGACCUCAACUCUGGCUCAGCAGUUGAAUUGUGCACAUCUAUACAUUGAGACAUUGUAGGAACUCUUACAUAGCUGCCUGAAAGUCAACCAGUUGGUCCUUAAUUUCUGAUGUCUAUCUGUCACUAUGCUUUAUGUUUACUUUUGUUGCCAUGGCUACAUUUGUUCUUUUUUCGUAAGUCACUCUCAACAUACCUCACAUGACUGCAAAAUAAUCCUAUGGGAGGAAUUGAGCCUAAAACUAACCUCAUUAUCUUGCAGUGUGACGAGAAUCCUUUCUAAAAUAUAGUACGGCUUACAAAUUACUUCCGUUUACCGAAUAUAUUCCUUCCUGUCUUUUUUCUGUAACUUUUUUACUAGUGCACUUUUAGUCAAUUGUAUUUUACCUCAUGAUGCUAGAGUUGUUCUUUGUCUAACUGAGUGAGCUUCAUGAGUCUGCAGCGUCCGUGUAAUGAUGUUCACAUUUACACAUGCAGUCCAGACACAAAGCAUCCAUCUGAGCCCUCUGAAGGUAGGCGACCGUACCAAUCAGGUUCCAGACAGAGGUCGAGAUGACAAACACAAUAAGGCAGCAGAUUCAUCACCCCGUGUGCUCUGACAGUAAUUGUCCUGGGUCCGUGUCACAGUGUGCCCUGUUAAAAAUACACGGGAUGCCGCUCUGACAGAGAUGACAUCUGCGGCAGUCACAUGCAUUUAAGCCAGACACCUCCUCUAUUUGUUAUGACACACUUUCAAUUUAGCAAAAGGGCCCCAGUGAAGAUGAACAGUGCCCUAUGUGGGAGGAGGAGGAGGAGAAGGAGGAGGAGGGUCUGUGAAAGCAGGUCACUGUUUGUAAUUUAGACCUGUGCGGAGGAGGCCAGACACGUGGAGGGAUUCAGUUUAAUAAAAAGACGUGUUUCGUCUUGUCGCUAAAUGUGAACGUUGGCAGCACAAGGGUGAGCGAGACGUCCAUCUCUGGGGGAUACGGCAGCCCAGAUCGAUAGGUGGGAUGUCAGAUUGAAUUGAGGUCACUCUUCUUUGUCCCCCAAAGAGGUCCCACUCACUGACUCACCAUCAAAAUGUAGUGGGUAUUAAGUGAAGCUCGCUCUUCAGGAGGGGGAGGUGGCCUGACAGUCGUACCGGUGACCCCUGUCUUGUCUUAGCAGCGGGACUUUCUGCUCUGCAACAUGUUCACUGUCAGUCGUCGUCGUAGAGGGUGUAUGUGUAUGUUUGACAGUGACGGUCUGCUUUGUGAGGGAUCAAUAAUCUGGUGAGAUGUGAUCGGGCUGCUGUUGUUUGAUCCCAUCUAAAUGUUAAACAGACUCACUGUUGAACCUUUUGGUUGGAAGAGAAUGAAACCGCACAUCUGUGGGAGUGAACACGGCACAAAGGGGGUUAAUUUUGAGUCAGUGGAAGUGUUUUUAGGAUUAUUAGACUGGUCAUUAGUCAUCAUCUAGAACAGGGGUGGGCAAUAAAUUUUUACAUGGGAAACCUGAACUGUGUUGGAGGGCCGAACCAACAAUAACCUCAACCUCAAAUCAGGGGGGUUCACACAUACAGAAAAGCCCAAAUAAGCAACUACUAGUUCAAAACAAGCCCCAAAAAGCGCACCUGCGAGUUCGACAAGCGACUUCAGAGAGAAACAAGCUUAAAGUCUUUUAUUAUAAGCGGAUGUGGCAACUAUGAUGCGUCCACGUGUAUUUUGCAGAUGUUUAAACUUGUCUCUGUUCAUGAAUGCAGAUCUAGGAUAUGUGCACAUGCGUCCAAACGGAAAUUAAAACAACGGCUAGGUUUUCAAAAUAAAAGCAACACACUUGUAUAGCAUGUUGAUGAUUUGAUUGACGGACCUCACGAAGGGCCGGGCAGGGACAUCCAAGGGGCUGGGCUGUAAAAUACCCAGGUCUGAUCUAGAAGGAGUUGCACUGACUACAUUUGCAGUAACUGUUGAUAUUAAAGCUCCUGUGAGGAACUUUUGAUUUCUGUCAGUUUUGGCGCCCCCUGUGAUCAAAAUCAGUCUUUGCUUAUAUUACAAAAAAUGUGAGGCAGAGCUGAUGUUAGUAUCUCAGCAUGCUAAGAACUGCUCUAUAGCCAAACCAAUGAAUAGAGUGUAUUUGCGUCAUCAGUCCCUUAUUAUGCAGUUAUUAAAUUGUGAACAAUAGACGGCAUGAAUUGUUGCAAAGAAAGAAACAAUCAGCUGCCAAUUCAUUUCCAUCUGCGUCCCAUUCUUGGACCUUCAAUUCAAGGAUGUGAUAUACUGUACUGAUACACCGUUGCUAUGGGUAACACCACUCUUUAAUAUGUCUUGAUUGUAAAAAGUUCAUCAGAAAUGCAGGAUGAAGUGAGAGUCAAAGUUCCUCGGUGUUUGCAGACAUGCCCUUCUUAGUCCGCUCAGGUUGAAGAGGACACGAUGAUUGGCAUGGCCCUCUGUCCUGCGUGCAGCUAAACAGCCAUGUCCAUAUUCAGCGAUGAUAUUGGCCUCUAACCCCCGGUCCAGAUGCCAUUACCAUUUUAGAGUCGCACCAAGCGACCGGGCUGGUGCACAACACUAUCAAUAUUAAUGUUCUGUGACUGAGGCGGCUUUGGAAGAACUUUCUCCCACAUCAAUAUUGAUGGUGUUGCCAUACAUUGGAGUCAGGCCCUGUUUAAGGAUUUAUAAGAGGAGCGCUUGUGGGGGGUGGUGUCUGUAUGUGAGGGAGGCCAACGCCGUUUUAGGUCUGCACCUCAAUGAUGUGCAUUUCCCUGCCGUUUAGAGCAAUUUCCAUGGGAGAGGGGCGACUCCAACCCACACUGAUGAGAUCUGAGUGGAGAGGGGUUGUGCAGGGACAGAUCCAAUUCCCUCGCAAUGCUUUGCCGGAGAUGAUAGUUAUGGAAAAAACGAACGUUUCAUUUCAGGGGAUCUGGGAAUGCUAAAUGAGGGUCUGUUGAUUCUGGAGAUGGGGGUAUUGCUUUUGGGACAUCUUCACAAACAGUCCGCUGUCGGGCCACACACGUAGACACAGAUCCAAUUCAUUAUAAUAUUAGCUUUGGAGAUGCAUGGCUCUAUAUAUCAAGUGUCAAGAGGGCGUGCUCGGUAAAGAGUUUCAGGCCCGGCUCUUUUGUCAUGCAUUCAGGUAUAAAUCAAACAGAGCAAAAACACAAGUGAGAAUUAAUGAGAGUCAAAAUGAACUCUGACUUUGUCAUGUUAUUUGUAAAGCUGACUCCGGCUGUUCAGACUUUCAGCUGCAUUUGUCACGAGUUAUUAAAUGUUUUCAGUCUUAAAGCAUCAAAAAAUGAAGAAUUUUGUCAAGCUUGUUAUAAAGCAGACAGAGAAAUAUCAGCCUUUAAGCGAAGCCUAAGAAAUCACACAUAAUUUUUUAUUAACAAUAAUAAAAAUAAUAAUGAUAACAACAUCAAUAAUAAGAAUAAGAACUUUAUUUAUAUAGCACCUUAAAAAAACUGAUGUUUACAAAGUGCUUUAACAGAAGAAGCAAAAAAUACAGCAAACUUAUACAGUUAGUUUUCUGAUACAAGGAGUUUAAUUGUUACUGAUUGCAGUUAUCUUGGUUCUGAUUGGUCGAAAUCCCGUACUACUAGGUUCAAAAAGCAAAACCAGGAUCAACCUGAUCACACACUUUGUAUCAGUUUAAUUUGCUUAUCGGACUCUGGCAUAUCCCUCCUCUGCCUUUUGACACUGUGGUAAAAAUGUUUGUUUCUCUUUGCAUUUUAAAGUGGUAAACAAUAAUGGAAGUAUUUCACAUAUUACUAAAAUUACAUUAAAAAAAAACACAUAACAGUGAAAUACUAUUAGUUUUACUCAGGAAAUAAAGAUAACAGUUGAAGUCCAUAGGGUCUAUAUUUUUAUAAUAAAGCUCCUCCAAAUACCUUUUUCUUUUUAGGUAACCUAAACUUGAAUUAUUUACCAAUGAACACCGGAAGCCUACAUCUAAGAUGGGUAAAAAAAGGGAUGACGAAAAAGGUCAAUGAAUAAAUCAAGAACUGGCAUCAUCGUACUCUCAUUCAUUUCCUCUCAUACGUCAGACAUAGACCGACUUUAUUCAGGUAUUUCUAACAUCUUAAACCGUAGCUAUCAGGUGAAAAAUAUUCAGUCCACUUGGUCCAAGUCCUGUAAAAUCUUCCCUUUUGGACUUGAAUGAGCUCAAGUUUGAGGUACCCCCCAUGAGCUAAGUAUAUAAAUGCAGAUUAUCAGACUGAUACAAAGAGCAGCUGUAUCACAUAAACCAGCACAAUCUAAGAUUAUCAGCACAGAGAAUAACCGCCUGCAACACCUAAAGUAACCUUCUCAUCUGCUUUAGUUGGCUGCAUUGUUGCUUGUCUGUGUAAAUCAACAUUUUCUAUAACAUCUACAACAUAAGAUGCUCCUUGACUAAAAAUGUGUAUAAUUUUAUUUGUCAGUCUGCCUCUCUUUCUCCCCCAACAUCACAGAGGUCUAGGACUAAAAACGCUUGAGUCCCUCUUUGAGAAAAUUUGAUGGCGAAUGACCUGAUUUAAUCACUCUUUGGCUGAUUUUUCUCUGCCUCGAAUAAAUGACUAAAGAGCUGUGACACAUGCCUCCCUUGCAUGUGACUUUACUAAAUGAACCUGAGGCAGACAGCCGAGUAUGAAUCUUGCAUUUUGUUCGGAGUUAGCGUCAGCCUUAAUGAUAUCAUGGCUCUGCCGUCAUGGUGCCCUCUGUUUGUGCAAACAUAUUACACCGAGGCUGUUUUCUGGGUCAGUAAGUUAAAUAUUUCAGAGGGUUUAUUUUUAGAGCCGUCUGUUUCCACUUUGUGAAUGCUCUGCACAUUGUGUGUGUGUGUGAGUGUGUGUGUCUGUGGCAGUGCAUCUCUCUCUCUCUAACUAUCUGCCAUAUCUGCAGGCUGCAUUUGACCCACUAAGUCAUCUUCAAAUGCCCCUCGGGGUUUAUCAAUUGAGUGUUGUGUGCAGAGGGGGGCCAUCCUAAUCGGUUUUCAACUGACUGUUAAUACCGAGAAUGAAAAAAAUAUAUAUACAGACAGGAUGUUUACUGUUUAUUUUACUCUGAAUGUACUUCCUACACUCCUCUGAAAACAAAUCAGAGUAUUUCUGCUCUCCAAAAAAGCUCAGCUCAAGAUGCUUUUGUUUGAAAUCGGCCUUUCAAACUUGAAAAACAGCAGAAAGCUUUCAACUCUGUCAUCAUUUAUCAAUCUCCAGCAAUGAUUCUUCUCAAGAUUUCUUACAAUUGAUCAAUUCAGUGUGAUAAUAAGGAGGUUAGCUGAGGUUAGAGUGGGUUAGGUUGGGUUGUUUUGUUUGUAUUCAGAGGUGCCAGUGCUUGAGACUGAAGGGUAACCCCACUGACUAUACUAUAAACAUGGACAGCCUGCCUUCAUCUUCACCUUGACAAAAGUAAAGCCAAAAUACAGUUGCAUUAGGAGCUGGCAUCUAGCAUUGCCUUACUAUCUCUUAUGCAGUAAAAGUUUGAGGAACUGUUGUGGUGAUUACGUGAUGCGCACUAAAAUUGCUGAACUUUCCAUAGUCGCAGUGUCUGCCCCAAAUCAAGAAGAACCAGUUCUGCUG
rnacentral:lncRNA from 1 species